rnacentral:rRNA from 1 species
AACGAACGCUGGCGGCAUGCCUAACACAUGCAAGUCGAACGGGACCUUCGGGUCUAGUUGCGCACGGGGGCGUAACGCGGGGGAACCUGCCCGUAUGCUCGGAAUAACUCCCCGUAAUGGGUGCUAAUAUCGGGUAAUUUCUGCUGAUCAAAGAUUCAUCGAGCUUGUAUGGGCCCGGGUUGUUCUAGCUUGUUGGUAGGGUAAAAGCCUACCACGGCGACGAUACAUAGCUGGUAUGAGAGGAAGGUCAGCCACACUGAGACUGAGACACGGUGCAGAAUACUGGGCGAGGCAGGAGUGCGUGAUCUUGCAAUACCGCCGAAAGGAUGAUCGAGCACUGCCGGGUGAGUGAUGAAGGUCUGAGGGUAGUACAGCUGUUUUAUACGCGAUGAUAAUGACAGUACCGAGAGAAUAAGCACCGGCUAACUUCGUG